CAGUCGCCACGGGAAUACGUAGGGUGCGAGCGUUAAUCGGAAUUACUGGGCGUAAAGCGUGCGCAGGCGGUUUUGUAAGACAGGCGUGAAAUCCCCGGGCUCAACCUGGGAAUGGCGCUUGUGACUGCAAAGCUAGAGUGCGGCAGAGGGGGAUGGAAUUCCGCGUGUAGCAGUGAAAUGCGUAGAUAUGCGGAGGAACACCGAUGGCGAAGGCAAUCCCCUGGGCCUGCACUGACGCUCAUGCACGAAAGCGUGGGGAGCAAACAGGAUUAGAUACCCCCGUAGUCCCUGUCUCUUAUAA
rnacentral:rRNA from 1 species